AUAUGCUAAUGACCUUUCCUUCAUCCCAUGACCAACUGCUUUCUUUUCUGAUUAUACCCCCCUCCCCUUAUCUUUUCUCUCUGUAGAUUUAUGUUGUUAAUGCCCUCAACUUCAAAGGAGGCUUUCCUCCUUUGAAUGAGGGUAUAUCUUAUGCACCCAUAUAACUAUGUGGUGCAUUUUCUUGUGUUUGCCUGUCAUCAUAGAGCCUUUUUUUACUGCCUGUCAUCAUAGAGCCUUUUGUUUUUGUUCCAGUGGUGUGAUUGGUUUCAUGCUUUGCUCAACUGAGGGACCUCCUGUUGACUUCAAGCAUCCUGUGAACCCUAUUGACAGUGAUGAUAGCUGCUGCAAAUCAAAACGACCC
rnacentral:lncRNA from 1 species